CAACUGUAACGGCGGUAUAUAUAUAUAUGUAGCAAGUCAUUUUAACGUUGACGUUAUUGUAGUUUUAUGAUUGUAAACAAACAAAAUGCAUGCGCGUACCGUGGCAUUAAUUCUGCUUGUUUGUCUGGCCGGGGCAUUGAUGGUGGAAAAUGCCGAGGCAUUCAAUUUCGGUGGAGGAUUGUGUCGGUGCCGCAAACGGUGUUACACGUAUGAGUACGCACGCAGUCGAUGUGGCUGGAAAAAGUGGUGGUGCUGCAGGAGAUGGCCCGGCAAGUAACAUCUAUGAAACACAAAUGCCAGAAUACAGUCGCAUCAGUGAUUUUUACAGGCAACAGUUCCAUGAGCGUCAACUUUUGUGAUCUUUUUUGUCACCUUUCUUCACAGCAAUAAAAUUUCUUAAAAUAUU